ensembl:lncRNA
UACAAGCUCAAGUUCUAAGCCCUUGAGCCAGAAUUCAAGGCGCCCCCAUCUGCCCCACUCCAAUUCCCAACUGCCCUCUUUCCACCCGCCCUACAAACUGUUCCAACUGCCCAGCCAGUUCCCAGCCUUCCGAAGACGCCUUGCAGUCUCCCUCUCCUGGUACCCAGAGCACAACCCAGCUCUCCCUACACAAGCUCAUCUUUCUGGGAAGCUGUUCCCUUCUUGGAUUGAUGGAUUCUAUCAGGGGCAGGCUGUGACUUUUUGUCAUCAUAGACAAAAAACACACACACAGAGAAAAUGGCUGCAGUGAUGGCAGCCUCCUACAGGCCAUCAGCAUAGGGGUCUAAUGCAGAAGAAGAGAGAAAAACUAUGGAAAG